UGAAUCAUGAAUGGAAGUGCUUGGCUUACAGUGUCACAGAUCGUUCUUUAAACUAUUUGAAGAUCUACUUUAUCUUUACUAACGACUCUAAUCUAUAUCUAGUUUAUAUCUAUAUUUUAUAUGAUAAUAAUAGACCUAGACUCUUAUACUUUUAAUAAAGUUAUAAGAUCUAGAAUCUGUAUCUAGAUCUAUUCCCAUUUAUACACUGAUAAUACACUACAGAUUUAAUGUUUCUAAAGUACACAAAGGAUGUUGAAAGGUACCCAAAGGGCUCUAAUUGCUACCAUUCAAUGUGUGGAAUCAAGUAUUUACCCAGAUACUGCCACAAUAUGUUCUUAUUAUUUUCAAAGGAGUUUUCACACAGUGCCAUAACUUCUGGCAGAAGCUGUAUAAAUACAUUUAACAAUGUAUAUUUCAAGAAGAAAUGAUGCUUUCUUAUUUCUAAGAGUUUAUCAAUAGGAUGAAUGCCACAAAACUCACUUGUUAUGCCAGAAACUCUUCCUACGAAACUUCCAUACUAGAAUUUGUCCAGUGCCUGUGAUCCUCUGAGUUGAAGGAGAAUGUGCUCCAUAAUACCUACUAGGAGCUUGCUGAUAGCUGGAAGUUCAUGAAUACUAUGUUGUCCUUGAUUUGAUGAUUCUGAAAACUACCAUUUCUGAAGACUUGAGCAUUAUUUCUAUAAUUUAAAAAAAUCUUUUCAGGAAAUAUUGUGUUUAUAAUAUUAAGAAAGUGAAGAUAAUAUUGUUCUUACUAUUGACUUA